rnacentral:lncRNA from 1 species
CAAAUUCCAAAAGUGGAUCAGGGAUGAUGAGUUGAUUAUCUGAUAGAUACUGUAGGGGCUCCUCCAAUCCAAACUCAUAGAUAGAUAACUUGUCAUCAGGUAUGAUAAGUUGAUUUUCUGCUAGAUACUGCAGAGGCUCCUCCAAUCCAAACUCAUAGACAGAUAACUUGUCAUCAGGGGUAUAUGGUUGACUACCCAUAUUACCUGACAGCAUCUGAUGUCCCGUAAGUUCAGUAAGCAAAGAGGCGUCAAGUUCUUUGACAUCAGACCCUGACAU